GGAGACAGGUGGUGCAUGGUUGUCGUCAGCUCGUGUCGUGAGAUGUUGGGUUAAGUCCCGCAACGAGCGCAACCCUUGAUCUUAGUUGCCAGCACUUUGGGUGGGCACUCUAGGAUGACUGCCGGUGACAAACCGGAGGAAGGUGGGGAUGACGUCAAAUCAUCAUGCCCCUUAUGACCUGGGCUACACACGUACUACAAUGGCCGAUACAACGGGAAGCGAAACCGCGAGGUGGAGCCAAUCCUAUCAAAGUCGGUCUCAGUUCGGAUUGCAGGCUGCAACUCGCCUGCAUGAAGUCGGAAUUGCUAGUAAUCGCGGAUCAGCAUGCCGCGGUGAAUACGUUCCCGGGUCUUGUACACACCGCCCGUCACACCACGAGAGUUUACAACACCCGAAGCCGGUGGGGUAACCCGCAAGGGAGCUAGCCGUCGAAGGUGGGGUAGAUGAUUGGGGUGAAGUCGUAACAAGGUAGCCGUAUCGGAAGGUGCGGCUGGAUCACCUCCUUUCUAAGGA
rnacentral:rRNA from 1 species